UCUCAGUGAUAGUGCUCUAGGUGGUUAA
rnacentral:piRNA from 1 species